rnacentral:tRNA from 1 species
UUGGGUGUGGUUCAGUGGUAUAGUAUGUAUUUGGCACAUAUAAAGUCCUGGAGCAUGCUGGGUUCAAUCCCAGCACCAAAA